rnacentral:rRNA from 1 species
GAUGAACGCUGGCGGCGUGCCUAAUACAUGCAAGUCGAGCGAACAGACGAGGAGCUUGCGCCUCUGUCGGUAGCGGCGGACGGGUGAGUAACACGUGGAUAACCUACCUAUAAGACUGGGAUAAAUUAGGUAAACCGGAUCAAAUACCUGAUAAUAUAUUGAAUCGCGUGGUUCAAUAGUAAGAUACGGGUUUUCUUUGUCUUAGAGGUGGAUCCGCGCCGCUUGAUCUUGUGGGGAAGGUCACGGCUUACCAAGGCGACGAUGCGUAGCCGAUCUGAGGGGGGGAUAAGCCACACUGGAACUGAGACACGGCCCAGACUACUACGGGAGGCAGCAGAAGGGAAUCGAACGCAAUGGGAGGAAGCAUGACGGAGCACAGCCACGUGAGUGAUGAAGGUCUUGGGAUCGUAAAACUCUGUUAUUAGGGAAGAACAAAUGUGUAAGUAACUAUGAACGUCUUGACGGUACCUAAUCAGAAAGCCACGGCUAACUACGUG